CAUCUGUUGGAGUAAGAGGAGGUGAGGUGUUAUGGUUUCUUUGAGCUGCGAGGGUGGCAGGACAAGGGUGCACCUUGCUUUUUCAGCAACCACACUGAGAGACAGGUGGUCAAGGUGUUGUCAUAAUUACAAUAUAGCCAAAGUAUUGACUGAUUUUUUGUAGGCACUAGCUAUGUGGCUUAUAAGUAUUAUUUCAAUUGGUUUUCAAUGCAAUCCUAAUGGGAGGAUAUUCUCACCGUCUUUUUAAGAGAAUGGGACAGAGAGGUCAGGCAGUUCGCUCUGGGUCACACAGCCAUGAGCUGCAGAGACAGGAUUUGUUCUUUUUGACUUUGAAACGUGUAUUCUGGAGUUUUUUGAAUGACCUCUUAUAAGAACACUCUUCUUAACUUAGUGUGUUUGCUCACAUGCUUUAAAAAAAUCAAUAUUUAAGCAACCAGUUUUAACUUUUGACACAUUUUGGAAACAGGAAGGAGAUGGCUCUUGUAGAAUGAGGAAACAGAAAAUGCUGGUGUUCUGUGUCCCUUUUGAUGGUGAAACUUCAGUGGUUUGGAUUUGCUCUGGAAGGUCUUUCUUGAGAAAGUCUUGGCUCUUGGGUUUUCUAUGUUGUUGGCAACGCAAAGACUCCUUCCUGUGAAAAUGAGCUCCCCAUUGUCCUGGGGAACAAAUAAAGAAUUAUCUCACUGCCUGACAGCAUUUCAAUCAUUGUUUAUUUAAGUCGCAGAUCUCUACAUAUAAAAAGGAGGGUGGGAAUACUAAUGGGUAAAUUAUUAAGGCAAAAUGGGCAUAUUUCUUAUUGUCUCUUGCCUAGAAGACCUUUUCCAAGAGUUCUGGCUCUUCCCACAUAAUCUUUGCGUAUUUGUCUUCCUCCAGCUGCUGUCCGAGGCCAUUUUUAUUGUCUUUCUCAGUCAUUUAGUGAAUGAAUUUGGAGAGAUCAGUUACCUACUCAACCACCAACUCUUCAUUCAUUCUCCUUUCUGAUAGAAAAACCAUGUUGUUGGGAUUGACCUCACCCAACAUCCAAGGUUGGAUCCCGAUUGGUUUCAAACAUUCCCAUUUCAACAUUUCCACAGCUCCCACCGCACAGACUUAGAAUGGUGCUGAUCUGGUUCUUCACUCCCUCUUGACCAUACUUGCUCCAGAACAUACUUGCUCCUCAGCAUGGAGGGAAACUUUCAUGCUUACGUGAUUGAAAACACUGAAGAUCCCGAAUCCCACGAUUUCCUGUGCUUCAGUGAUGCACUUACGUGUUGGGCUAAGUAAGUGUGUAUUCUUUCCAGUUGAAUCCUUUGCCAUGCUUGGUGCUGCUAAAGAGAAAGAAGAUUCUGUCUGAUCAUGUGACUCAGAAACUUCAUUCUGAAUCAAGGUGUCAGGCGGACCAGGGUGGGUGCAGAUGUGCUACCCAGGUCCACCCACACUAGUCCUACUUGCUUCUGGUUCUGAGAGGAUGACCUCCAGAAAUGAGCAGAGCUCUCUGGUCGUGCAAAUCCUUCUGAAUAACAACCCCUUUUGUGUCCGGGAUGCACCAGAUAGGAUGUUCUUUAUCAGCAAGCAGUCCAUGUCCUUGAGAAAGGAGCUGGAAGUUCCAACAUUACCCUCCUUAUCUCCAACACAAAACCCCAAGGCUGAAGACAGCGGCAAAUGUUUAGUUAAUUUAAUAUUAGGUAAUGAAUUGGAGGAGGCCUUCCUGGUCCCACCCAAGGGUCCACCCCCCCUGGUUGGACUGGUUGCCACCCACUCAUCUGUCAUCUUGCUCAACUGUCACCUACACAAAGCCUUUCUUUCUACUCUCGGGGAGUGCCAAUGGCUUCCUCCUCUGAGUCCCUCAGGCCUUUGUGUGUGCUAUAUUUAGAACUAACCACAUUGUUCUGUGAUGACUUGCUCAGACAUCUGCCUCUCCCAGGAGGUGAUGAGUUCCUCGGAGCCAGGGACUAUGUCCUCAUCAUUUCUAUACACCCAUCUCCUUCUGCAGAAUAAGUAUUUGAGUCUGUUUUUAAAUUUCUGAAUUCCUCCCUGUGGUCCCUAUUGCCAUCGGCAUAAAACUCCUGUCUUUGCUCUGGUGAGCACCUCAACACCGUCAGAGUGGACAUCCCAGCUCCCCUGAGUGCUUUGGGCGCUCUUUCCCCUCUUUUCAUCCAUAAUGUUCCCUCUGGUGGAAGGUAUCUCCCCAAACAUCCUUGCUCUGGGCUAGCCCUCCCUCUUUCUCCAGAUCGGUUAGAAACACACCUUGGGUGCUCAUUCCUAAAACAUUCUGUGCUUUUCCCAACAUGUGAUUUUACACAUGCUACUGUGAUCUCCUUCCUGGUGUCUACUUUACCCCCUAGAGUGAAAGAUCCUUGAGCCCAUACUCAGUAAAUAUUUGCGGAUUAUAUUCUUUACCAAGUCUGUGUAAUGUAUCAUGGAACUUGGUAAUAAAAUAGAACAAGUGUG